rnacentral:rRNA from 1 species
AUUGAACGCUGGCGGCAGGCCUAACACAUGCAAGUCGAGCGAGCGGCGGACGGGUGAGUAAUGUAUGGGGACUGCCUGAUGGAGGGGGAUAACCACUGGAAACGGUAGCUAAUACCGCCUACACUAAGAAAACCCAUAUGGGAGUGACUUGUAGGUGAGGUAACGGCUCACCUAGGCGACGACCCCUAGCUGGUCUGAUAGUAUGAUCAGCCACACUGGGACUGAGACACGGCCCAGACGCCUACGGAGGCAGCAGUGGGGAAUAUUGCACAAUGGGCGCAAGCCUGAUGCAGCCAUGCCGCGUGUAUGAAGAAGGCUUUCGGGUUGUAAAGUACGUUCAGUCGGGAGGCGUUACCGACAGAAGAAGCACCGGCUAACUCCGUGCCAGCAGCCGCGGUAAUUC